rnacentral:rRNA from 1 species
AUGGUGCAACCACAACAAGGCCAUGAACAGGAACUGGAAGAGGAAAAUCAGCAAAUCAGACCAGACACGGAGUCAGCCCUUGUUUUGACCACAAAAUCAGAUCAGGUAAGCAAGGAAAACCAAAAGGAAAACAAACCAUAUGGACGCCCUCUUCCUCAGCAUGGACCACCUCAUCGAGACACCUGGCUCAACUCCUUGCCGCUGCCAUCUCUAGGGUUGGUGGUAGGAGAAAUAGGAGGACAAUGUGUGCCGCCCCGGUUCUUGAUCUCCAUCGCCUUUGCUGAAUCGAGGGAUGGAGGAGGUGCAGGACGGUGGCACGAGGAGAGAACAGGAGGACCAACCGGCGACCAGCGGCCAGUCCUCUAUGUGCGGGCGCCAGGGAGCAUGCCCUGGGCUAGAUCUUGA